GUGGGGAAUAUUGGGCAAUGGGGGAAACCCUGACCCAGCAACGCCGCGUGAAGGAAGAAGGUUUUCGGAUCGUAAACUUCUAUCCUUGGUGAAAAUGAUGAUGGUAGCCAAGAAGGAAGCCCCGGCUAACUACGUGCCAGCAGCCGCGGUAAUACGUAGGGGGCAAGCGUUGUCCGGAAUGAUUGGGCGUAAAGGGCGCGUAGGCGGCCUUUUAAGUCUGAAGUGAAAGUCCUGCUUUUAAGGUGGGAACUGCUUUGGAUACUGGAAGGCUUGAGUGCAGGAGAGGUAAGCGGAAUUCCCGGUGUAGCGGUGAAAUGCGUAGAGAUCGGGAGGAACACCAGUGGCGAAGGCGGCUUACUGGACUGUUACUGACGCUGAGGCGCGAAAGUGUGGGGAGCAAACAGG
rnacentral:rRNA from 1 species